CACGUAGGGGGCAAGCGUUGUCCGGAUUUAUUGGGCGUAAAGAGCUCGUAGGCGGCUCAGUAAGUCGGGUGUGAAACCUCCAGGCUCAACCUGGAGACGCCACCCGAUACUGCUGUGGCUUGAGUCCGGUAGGGGAGCGUGGAAUUCCUGGUGUAGCGGUGAAAUGCGCAGAUAUCAGGAAGAACACCAACGGCGAAGGCAGCUCGCUGGGACGGUACUGACGCUGAGACGCGAAAGCGUGGGGAGCAAACAGG
rnacentral:rRNA from 1 species